rnacentral:rRNA from 1 species
UACGUAGGGUGCAAGCGUUAAUCGGAAUUACUGGGCGUAAAGCGCGUGUAGGCGGUCGCUUAAGUCUGAUGUGAAAGCCCGGGGCUCACCUCCGGAAGAGCAUUGGAAACUGAGCGACUCGAGUGCCGGAGAGGAGGGUGGAAUUCCUGGUGUAGCGGUGAAAUGCGUAGAUAUCAGGAGGAACACCGGUGGCGAAGGCGGCCCUCUGGACGGAUACUGACGCUGAGACGCGAAAGCGUGGGGAGCAAACAGG